rnacentral:rRNA from 1 species
UACGAAGGGGGCUAGCGUUGCUCGGAAUCACUGGGCGUAAAGCGCACGUAGGCGGCUUUCUAAGUCGGGGGUGAAAUCCUGGAGCUCAACUCCAGAACUGCCUUCGAUACUGGAGAGCUUGAGUCCGGGAGAGGUGAGUGGAACUGCGAGUGUAGAGGUGAAAUUCGUAGAUAUUCGCAAGAACACCAGUGGCGAAGGCGACACGCUGGGUCACACCUGACGCUAAAGCGCGACAGCAUGGGGAGCGGAACGGG